GCAACUUGGUCCACUAAUCGCAAAAGCAAUUUAUUUUAUUUUAUUAAACAAACAAACAAGCAAAGAAACUAAAAUAUAUAUACAGUUGGUAAAUACAUAACAUAAAUAUUUUAUUCUUAUUAAUUUUGCUGCCACUAAAUUUCACGGAAGUGGGGCCUGCUUGAUUGUUAAUUAGACCUAAUUCAUUUAAGAUUUAUAUGAUAGUCGGAUAAAUAUUGAAAUAAAUAUAUAACAUUUACCAAAAAUGACACAUACUCCAGCUUCAGUGUGGAAAGACCGCGAAGUGAAGUGUUCACAGUGUGGUUUCUGCGGACGGUCUUCAGCAGCAGCAGAAUCCUCGGAGAAACUGGCCUGACUCCUGCGUCUGUGACAGUGGACUCCAUUGCUUCAGUAAGAUGGAUGGCGAGUGUGUAAAGGAGCUGACAUCACAACACUUACUGGGAGGCAGCGCAAGCAGCCCCCCGGUGACCUACGAUUCAAGCCCCAGAUUAUGGUUGUUCAUUGUUUGUUUCUGCUCCUCGUGCGGCUCAGUGACACACCGCUAUCCUAACGGCACACACAAAUUAAAGCCUCGUAUCAGAUCGCAACUAAAUCUGUGAGUGAGACUUGCGUAGAGAGUCUAGUAAAAUAAAGAUUGAUUUAUUCUUUAUCUUUACCCAUUUGGUUAGUUUUCAUGACUCUUUUCAUGAAUGGCUCAUUAUUGAUAAGCUGGAGGUUUGAAAUGUGCGGCGAAUCAUCAUCAUCAUCAGCGCUAAAUAUCAAUGGGCAGAAAACGUUUUAAUAUUUUAGAUAUUUAGUCAGGCGGCUGUUUGUUGUGCGCAAUUCUCACAUCUAUGUGUGUAUUAAUGUAUUAUUCAAGGGAUUCAACUCCAAAAUAAAAAUGUGUUUUUUAAAAAGUA